GCGGACGUGGCGGAAUUGGUAGACGCGCUAGAUUUAGGUUCUAGUAUCGCAAGAUGUGAGAGUUCAAGUCUCUCCGUCCGCACCA
rnacentral:tRNA from 2 species